GUUGAACGCUGGCGGCGGGCCUAAUACAUGCAAGUCGAGCGAACGGAGGAAGAUCGUUCUUGUCUUAUGUUAGCGGCGGAUGGGUGAGUACUACGUGGAUAACCGAUCUAUAAGAAUGAGAUAAGUUCGGGAGACCUAAUACAGUAUCGGUUAAGAGGUUGAACCUGGUGGUUCUUAGGUGAUCAACGUAUCUGCUGUCCCUAGGACGGAUUACCUAGCUGGAUUAGCUAGUUGGUAAGGUAACGGCUUACCAAGGCAACGAUGCAUAGCUGACCUGAGAGGAUGAUCAGUCACACUGGAACUGAGACACGGUCCAGACUCCUACGGGAGGCAGCAGUAGGGAAUAUUGCGCAAUGGGCGAAAGCCUGAUGGAGCCACGCCGCGUGAGUGAUGAAGGUCUUCGGAUUGUAAAGCUCUGUAAUUAGGGAAGAACAUAUGUGAAAGAAACUCUGGCUAUCUUGACGGUACCAACUGAGAAAGCCCCGGCUAACUUCGUG
rnacentral:rRNA from 1 species